ACGUCAGCCCAAAACACAUAUAGGAAUUUAUUUGGCCCAUCUGAGAUAGAUCUUGCUGCUGAAGAAAACGUGCAGACUGUUCCAGUCAGCUCAGCUUUUGAUAUUAGUGGAUUCCAAAAUAUGGUUGGGAGUCAAGAAAGUAUGCAACUUGGAGUAGAUGGAUCACAAGCUUUGCCCAAAUGAU